UGCAAGUCGUACGCACUGGCCCAACUGAUUGAUGGUGCUUGCACCUGAUUGACGAUGGAUCACCAGUGAGUGGCGGACGGGUGAGUAACACGUAGGUAACCUGCCCCGGAGCGGGGGAUAACAUUUGGAAACAGAUGCUAAUACCGCAUAACAACAAAAGCCGCAUGGCUUUUGUUUGAAAGAUGGCUUUGGCUAUCACUCUGGGAUGGACCUGCGGUGCAUUAGCUAGUUGGUAAGGUAACGGCUUACCAAGGCGAUGAUGCAUAGCCGAGUUGAGAGACUGAUCGGCCACAAUGGAACUGAGACACGGUCCAUACUCCUACGGGAGGCAGCAGUAGGGAAUCUUCCACAAUGGGCGCAAGCCUGAUGGAGCAACACCGCGUGAGUGAAGAAGGGUUUCGGCUCGUAAAGCUCUGUUGUUGGAGAAGAACGUGCGUGAGAGUAACUGUUCACGCAGUGACGGUAUCCAACCAGAAAGUCACGGCUAACUACGUGCCAGCAGCCGCGGUAAUACGUAGGUGGCAAGCGUUAUCCGGAUUUAUUGGGCGUAAAGCGAGCGCAGGCGGUUGCUUAGGUCUGAUGUGAAAGCCUUCGGCUUAACCGAAGAAGUGCAUCGGAAACCGGGCGACUUGAGUGCAGAAGAGGACAGUGGAACUCCAUGUGUAGCGGUGGAAUGCGUAGAUAUAUGGAAGAACACCAGUGGCGAAGGCGGCUGUCUGGUCUGCAACUGACGCUGAGGCUCGAAAGCAUGGGUAGCGAACAGGAUUAGAUACCCUGGUAGUCCAUGCCGUAAACGAUGAGUGCUAGGUGUUGGAGGGUUUCCGCCCUUCAGUGCCGGAGCUAACGCAUUAAGCACUCCGCCUGGGGAGUACGACCGCAAGGUUGAAACUCAAAGGAAUUGACGGGGGCCCGCACAAGCGGUGGAGCAUGUGGUUUAAUUCGAAGCUACGCGAAGAACCUUACCAGGUCUUGACAUCUUGCGCUAACCUUAGAGAUAAGGCGUUCCCUUCGGGGACGCAAUGACAGGUGGUGCAUGGUCGUCGUCAGCUCGUGUCGUGAGAUGUUGGGUUAAGUCCCGCAACGAGCGCAACCCUUGUUACUAGUUGCCAGCAUUAAGUUGGGCACUCUAGUGAGACUGCCGGUGACAAACCGGAGGAAGGUGGGGACGACGUCAGAUCAUCAUGCCCCUUAUGACCUGGGCUACACACGUGCUACAAUGGACGGUACAACGAGUCGCAAGCUCGCGAGAGUAAGCUAAUCUCUUAAAGCCGUUCUCAGUUCGGACUGUAGGCUGCAACUCGCCUACACGAAGUCGGAAUCGCUAGUAAUCGCGGAUCAGCAUGCCGCGGUGAAUACGUUCCCGGGCCUUGUACACACCGCCCGUCACACCAUGGGAGUUUGUAACGCCCAAAGUCGGUGGCCUAACCUUUAUGGAGGGAGCCGCCUAA
rnacentral:rRNA from 2 species